rnacentral:rRNA from 1 species
GAUGAACGCUGGCGGCGUGCCUAAUACAUGCAAGUCGAGCGAAUGGAUUAAGAGCUUGCUCUAUGAAGUUAGCGGCGGACGGGUGAGUAACACGUGGGUAACCUGCCCAUAAGACUGGGAUAACUCCGGGAAACCGGGGCUAAUACCGGAUAACAUUUUGAACCGCAUGGUUCGAAAUUGAAAGGCGGCUUCGGCUGUCACUUAUGGAUGGACCCGCGUCGCAUUAGCUAGUUGGUGAGGUAACGGCUCACCAAGGCAACGAUGCGUAGCCGACCUUAGAAGGGGAUCGGCCACACUGGGACUGCGACACGGCCCAGACUCCUACGGGAGGCAGCAGUAGGGAUUCUUCCGCAAUAGACGAAAGUCUGACGGAGCAACGCCGCGUGAGUGAUGAAGGCUUUCGGGUCGUAAAACUCUGUUGUUAGGGAAGAACAAGUGCUAGUUGAAUAAGCUGGCACCUUGACGGUACCUAACCAGAAAGCCACGGCUAACUACGUGCCAGCAGCCGCCGUAA